ACGCUGGCGGCACGCCUUAUACAUGCAAGUCGAACGGAGUAGCAAUACUUAGUGGCAGACGGGUGAGUAACAUGUAGGUAUCUUCCCUUUGGUGAGGAAUAACACGAGGAAACUUGUGCUAAUACCUCAUAAGUCUUUACGGAGAAAGCUUUAUGCGCCAUUGGAUGAGCCUGCACUUGAUUAGUUUGUUGGUGGGGUAAUGGCCUACCAAGACUUUGAUCAAUAGCUGAUUUGAGAGGAUGAUCAGCCACAUUGGGACUGAGACACGGCCCAAACUCCUACGGGAGGCAGCAGUAGGGAAUCUUGCACAAUGGAGGAAACUCUGAUGCAGCGAUGCCGCGUGAGUGAAGAAGGCCUUUGGGUUGUAAAGCUCUUUCGUCGGGGAAGAAAAUGACUGUACCCGAAUAAGAAGGUCCGGCUAACUUCGUGCCAGCAGCCGCGGUAAUACGAAGGGACCUAGCGUAGUUCGGAAUUACUGGGCUUAAAGAGUUCGUAGGUGGUUAAAAAAGUUGGUGGUGAAAUCCCAGAGCUUAACUCUGGAACUGCCAUCAAAACUUUUUAGCUAGAGUAUGAUAGAGGAAAGCAGAAUUUCUAGUGUAGAGGUGAAAUUCGUAGAUAUUAGAAAGAAUACCAAUUGCGAAGGCAGCUUUCUGGAUCAUUACUGACACUGAGGAACGAAAGCAUGGGUAGCGAAGAGGAUUAGAUACCCUCGUAGUCCAUGCCGUAAACGAUGUGUGUUAGACGUUGGAAAUUUAUUUUCAGUGUCGCAGCGAAAGCAAUAAACACACCGCCUGGGGAGUACG
rnacentral:rRNA from 1 species